UCAUGCCUACAACAUAGCGUUAAUGCACUAGAUCCCAUUAGAACUAUGCAGUUAAGCGCGAUUAGGAUAAAGUAGUACUGGGAUGGGUGACCGCUCGGGAAGUCCUGGUGUUUUACAUUCC
rnacentral:rRNA from 1 species